GAACGGCAGCAUAGUCUAGCUUGCUAGAUGGGUGGCGAGUGGGGAACGGGUGAGUAACGCGUAGGAAUAUGCCUUGAAGAGGGGGACAACUUGGGGAAACUCAAGCUAAUACCGCAUGAUGUCUAAGGACGAAAGCUGGGGACCAUUUAGGCCUGGCGCUUUAAGAUUAGCCUGCGUCCGAUUAGCUAGUUGGUGGGGUAAGGGCCUACCAAGGCGACGAUCGGUAGCUGGUCUGAGAGGAUGAUCAGCCACACUGGGACUGAGACACGGCCCAGACUCCUACGGGAGGCAGCAGUGGGGAAUAUUGGACAAUGGGCGCAAGCCUGAUCCAGCCAUGCCGCGUGAGUGAUGAAGGCCCUAGGGUUGUAAAGCUCUUUCAACGGUGAAGAUAGUGACGGUAACCGUAGAAGAAGCCCCGGCUAACUUCGUGCCAGCAGCCGCGGUAAUACGAAGGGGGCUAGCGUUGUUCGGAAUUACUGGGCGUAAAGCGCACGUAGGCGGACUAUUAAGUCAGGGGUGAAAUCCCGGGGCUCAACCCCGGAACUGCCUUUGAUACUGGUAGUCUAGAGUCCGAGAGAGGUGAGUGGAAUUCCGAGUGUAGAGGUGAAAUUCGUAGAUAUUCG
rnacentral:rRNA from 1 species